CCCUCCCCUUCAGGGGAGAACAGUCUCCCAGGAUAUUUUGAGGGUCAGGUAUUGUUAUACUUAAACCUGAGAGAUUAUAGAGAAUCACCACAAUUCUGAGCCAAAUUUGAGUCCUCUAUUGUCUGCGUUCCAGAGCAGCUUGCACUGGAAAAACUCGAGCAGGAAGAGGCUUGUGGGCCUCUUUUAAGUGGCUCUUCUAAUUGAGGAGGGCUCAGUGAGAGGGGGAAAGCAAACUGUGCUGUCAGUAGCAAUGGUGAAGAACAAGGGAGCUGAAAGACUGGAGGCUAGGGGAGCCCAGCAGGCCUGGCAUCCUGAGGCAGGGCUGAGGCUGGUGGUCUCCUUGGGAUGAACACUUCCUCAACAAAUGGGCCAGCCUGGAGCCAGAGGUGCCACUGGAAAUUGUGUUUCCUGAGACCUGAAGAAAUUGUUUCCAGAGUCCCAGAUAGUGACAGUUUCGUAGAAGACGUCAUUGAGUAUAUCAUGGACACACUGAGCAGUGAGGACCUGCAGCAACUGCUGACUGAAGAUGGCUCCUGGGAGAUAUUGGUGGAGACGACUGAUUUGACCAGGUCACCUGCACGGGCCCCCAGCAGUGCCACCCAGAGCCCCACUGGACUGGGAUUCCCGGGGGUGGACACAGCUCCUCCAGGCUGUUUCCUGUGGUUGGGGCUCAGGGUGCCCCUUCGGCAUCGUCCCUGCGGGAAAUUAUCUCCAUGUCAUUCCCUGGCAGUGAAUGGCCUCAGGGUGAAGGGACAUGGCAGCAAGGGGGCAGGAUCACUUCUGGCAACUGCUGGUUAUGUGACCUUUGCUAUCUCUACACCACUCUCGGCCUUACUGCCUUCAUUCAUUGAGUUUCAUGGUAAGGAAAGUAAGAUAACGUGUGGAACCUGCUUAGGUUAUCACUUACACACAACAGGGGCUCAAGCAAAGGCCAGGAGGGACGAGAGCAGGGCCGAGGGUCCUCCUUGGAGACAGGUGCC
rnacentral:lncRNA from 1 species